rnacentral:rRNA from 1 species
AGAGNUUGAUCNUGGAUCAGGACGAACGCUGGCGGCGUGCUUANCNCAUGCAAGUUGAACGAUGAACCACUUCGGUGCGGAUUAGUGGCGAACGGGUGAGUAACACGUGGGCAAUNUGCCCUGCACUNUGGGACAAGCCCUGGAAACGGGGUCUAAUACCGGAUACAACCACUAGGGGCAUCUGUUGGUGGUGGAAAGCUCCGGCGGUGCAGGAUGAGCCCGCGGCGUAUCAGCUUGUCGGUGAGGUAAUGGCUCACCAAGGCGACGACGGGUAGCCGGCCUGAGAGGGCGACCGGCCACACUGGGUCUGAGACACGGCCCAGACUCNUACUGGAGGCAGCAGUGGGGAAUAUUGCACAAUGGGCGAAAGCCUGAUGCAGNGACGCCGCGUNAGGGAUGNCGGCCUUCGGNUUGUAAACCUNUUUCAGCAGGGAAGAAGCGAAAGUGACGGUACCUGCAGAAGAAGCGCCGGCUAACUACGUGCCAGCAGCCGCGGUAAUACGUAGGGCGCGAGCGUUGUCCGGAAUUAUUGGGCGUAAAGAGNUCGUAGGCGGCUUGUCACGUCGGUUGUGAAAGCCCGGGGCUUAACCCCGGGUNUGCAGUCGANACGGGCAGGNUAGAGUUCGGUAGGGGAGAUCGGAAUUCCUGGUGUAGCGGUGAAAUGCGCAGAUAUCAGGAGGAACACCGGUGGCGAAGGCGGAUUNUGGCC